UAGGGAAUCUUCGGCAAUGGACGGAAGUCUGACCGAGCAACGCCGCGUGAGUGAAGAAGGUUUUCGGAUCGUAAAGCUCUGUUGUUAGAGAAGAACGUUGGUAGGAGUGGAAAAUCUACCAAGUGACGGUAACUAACCAGAAAGGGACGGCUAACUACGUGCCAGCAGCCGCGGUAAUACGUAGGUCCCGAGCGUUGUCCGGAUUUAUUGGGCGUAAAGCGAGCGCAGGCGGUUCUUUAAGUCUGAAGUUAAAGGCAGUGGCUUAACCAUUGUACGCUUUGGAAACUGGAGGACUUGAGUGCAGGAAGGGAGAGUGGAAUUCCAUGUGUAGCGGUGAAAUGCGUAAAUAAAUGGAGGAACGCCGGUGGCGAAAGCGGCUCUCUGGUCUGUAACAGACGCUGAGGCUCGAAAGCAUGGGGAGCAAACAGG
rnacentral:rRNA from 1 species